GGGUUGUGAGGUUAAGCGACUAAGCGUACACGGUGGAUGCCCUGGCAGUCAGAGGCGAUGAAGGGCGUGCUAAUCUGCGAUAAGCGCCGGUAAGGUGAUAUGAACCGUUAUAACCGGCGAUACCCGAAUGGGGAAACCCAGUGUGAUUCGUCACACUAUCAUUAACUGAAUCCAUAGGUUAAUGAGGCGAACCGGGGGAACUGAAACAUCUAAGUACCCCGAGGAAAAGAAAUCAACCGAGAUUCCCCCAGUAGCGGCGAGCGAACGGGGAGGAGCCCAGAGCCUGAAUCAGCAUGUGUGUUAGUGGAAGCGUCUGGAAAGGCGCGCGAUACAGGGUGACAGCCCCGUACACAAAAGCGUAUGUGCUGUGAGCUCGAUGAGUAGGGCGGGACACGUGGUAUCCUGUCUGAAUAUGGGGGGACCAUCCUCCAAGGCUAAAUACUCCUGACUGACCGAUAGUGAACCAGUACCGUGAGGGAAAGGCGAAAAGAACCCCGGCGAGGGGAGUGAAAAAGAACCUGAAACCGUGUACGUACAAGCAGUGGGAGCACCCUU
rnacentral:rRNA from 3 species